GCCGACGUAGCUCAGUUGGUAGAGCGCAUUCUUGGUAAGAAUGAGGUCUUGGGUUCGAUCCCCAACGUUGGCUCCU
rnacentral:tRNA from 2 species